GGAUAAAUAAGAAGCUGAGGACACUCUGUCCUUAAAGACCUGUGAGCUGCUUCAGGAGCCAGGUGACUCAACAUGAUUCAAAAUUGGGGAGGAGGACAUUCGUACCACACCUGAGGGCUCAGGGCACCACCAACAGAGGACAGACAGCUGCACCUGACACAGCUGUGAUUUAAACCAAGGGCACCGCUAGCAGGGACAGGAUGGACCACAGGCACCAAGCUGCACCAGGGGUUAGGAAAUCAUGAAUGGACUCGUCCUGAGCACAGGCUGGUGCAGCCAGAAGAUUGGAGUGGCCAGCAAAUGCUAGUGCUGGGAAGAUGCAAGUUUGGAGCGAUGGACAGCCACCGUCCCUAGCUCAGCAAAAGAAGCUGCUUGCAUUAAGACAGUUUGUGCUCCUCAUGCAAAGAGAAGCAGAAACAAGGGAAAUCUAAAAGAAGACCAAAUAAUAUU